AGAAGAGAUAAGACUAGAGGCAGAGAUACUAGCUAAGAAGCUGUUGCAACAAUGAAAGAAGAAAUGAUGAGAACCUAAACUAAGGCAAUACUAAUAGAAGCAAAGAGAAGGGAAGAGAUUUCACAAGUUUAUAAGAAGAAAGUGGUAGGACUUGAAAGUUAAUUGGAUGUAAAGACCAAAGCAAGGGGCAGUCAAGGAUGGCUCCUGGAUUUCUGGCUUGAGAGACUAGGUGGAUGAAAGAGCAGGUAGAAUGAGAAAGAUGAUGCUUUCAGUUUGGGAUAGGUCAAGUUUUGGGUCCCUUAUAGGUCUUUCAGGGAGAAAUGUCUAGCAGGGAUUUGGAUAGAAAUGUCUGGCACUCAGGAGAAAUAGAGAUGAGAACACCAAAGACAGAAUAUAUGGUUCUUCUAGAAGAUCCACUUUCAAUUUUACUAAAGUGAAUGACCCACUUUGAUGAAA
rnacentral:lncRNA from 1 species